GGCGAAUUGAUAAAUCCGAGCUGUCAUUAGGUAAAGAACUAGGUAGUGGAGAGUUUAAAAAGGUAGUAGCAGGUCAGUGGCGUAAUGAAGUUGAUGUUGCUAUUAAAAUAAUGGAAGGUGCACUGAAUGAAGAUGACUUGAUCAAAGAAGCAACAUUGAUGGAGAAAUUCCAACAUGAUAAUUUAGUAAAGUUAUAUGGAGUGUGUAUCGGACAAGGACCUGUUUAUAUCAUCACUGAAUUAAAUGGU